GGGAGGGGCCGCGCCGCCGCCCUUAUCCGCCCGCGCAGCGCGGCCUGGGGCCCGCGAUAGGGCCGGCCGCCCCCGGCUCCCCGCCCUGGCCCGGCGGCGGCGGGCCCCGGCUGAAGGCGAUGUGUGCGGUAAAUCCCCUUCUUCCACCCGUUGCGCAGCCCCGUUUGGCCGCAGCCGAUGAAGGGUUAACAGCGCGGCUCAGCCCCGGGGCCUCCACAGCUCCCGGCUUCACCUGAGGCGGUCGGGAACUGCAGGGAGUUAGUGUAUGUACAGCUUCAGAAAGGAGCGUGGGCAGAAGGUACACGUCCUGCUACUCAGGGAGAACUACAGACACUUAACAAUACCUUGUACAAACCUGACGUAACAUUUAAAGGCUCGCUGCAGGAAGCAAUGAAAGACACUGGCUAAGACAGACAGUAGAAGAGCACAGACCGGUGGGAUUUCAUCCCGAAGCCUCCAGGUGUUCCAGGCAGCCUGAGCUACAGCUGCACCUCCCCUUGCUGUUACCACUGAGAAACUGGUGCAUCCCAAGGGAGCGGGGAUGGCUCUGCGUGGGUUGGAGGCUGGGGAUGAGCAGAGGGGGACGCCCCCAAACCCUUUCCAUCGCAGUUUUCCUUUCUGGCAGAUUUGCAAAACGGAAUAAAAAUCAAAGCAGUGAAGCAACGCGGCGCAGUUGUGCUGCACCUCGCGUGCCUACGGGCGGUGUAACAACUGAAGGCCCAGCUACUUGUCAGUGUACAUUUUUGCACGUGUGGGACAACAGAGAAAGCUCGUGGGUUUCCUUUCUCUGUUUUUAAAUUCCCUAUCCCCAAAAUGAACCUAGAUUUCACAUGUACACGGGCCUUCCUGAUACUCGCGCUGCAGGGAAUGAACCACAACAGGCAAACGCUGUUCUUCGCACUGCAUCUCUAUACAUACAAAAGUUUUUACACUAUCUACAAAGCAGCGAUUAGAUGUUUAAGUUCUUGCUACUCGUUUAAAAAUACUAGAGGAAAAAAAAAAAACUGUACAGUUUCCUAAAUUACAUCUUUA